GUUGUGUUCCAUGACCCCUGCUCUGAGACACCCCAGGAGGCUCCCACACGAGGGAGGGCCCAGGGACCCCGACCAGAGAAGGCUGUCGGAGCAUCUCCCCAACUCCGGCGCCAGAUCCUACCCCACCCUGCCGUCACCAGGUAGCCCUGUGCUGGGGGCACACUCCAGCAAGUCUCGAGCUGCUGCCCACCUCCUCAAGGACGGGUGAGACCCUGGCCAGGCCUCCUCCCAGGGGUCGAGGUCCCCCAGUCUGCAUGAGCUGUGAUGGUGGGUUCCGCACCUCCUCCUGAGAUGUGCCACCACCCCCGCUGGUCCCGCAGUUGCCAGAACUGACAGCAGCAGCAUGUGCCCUUUAAGGAGCGUUCGAGACUCCUGCCCAAGCCACCUGUCAUGCCAGGACAAUAGGUGUGGAGCGGGUUUUAAUCACCAGCCAGCGGAGACCAGAAGGCCUCGUGAUUUAUCGUUAACAUUGGCAUUAGAAUAAGAAGCUCAGUGAACUUCUUUCUCCUUUUCCUUUUUUUCUGUCUCUUUAUGGCCCUUCCUUCCCCUUCUCUUGAAGGUUCACUGUGGUUUUGGUUGGUCUGUUUCCAUAGUGACCAGGAGAGCUGAGAGCCAGCUGAGAGUUGAAAACUUGGUACCCAAAUGACCGCCGCCUCUCAAGAGAUGGGUGACCUGUCUGCAUGUUUAGCCUAUGGAAGUUGCUAAAGGCUUACAAACCCCUGAGAGGUUUUGCAAGGCAUGCAAAUAAUCAAACCAAAAAACUGUCCACCUUCUUGGAGCUCCUUAAUACAACAUUUCAGUGUAUUAAAGGCUCUGAGAAGUCCUGUGUCACCUGUUAACUCUCCAUCAACCCUGCACCUCCAAACUGCAUUGAAGCUGCAAUCCUUCUUUCAUCUCAAACUUAAUCCAGCCCUCCCCGGAAUCCAUGUUAUGGCACUCCUGCCAACUGUGGGAGAGCUUGCCUUCCUCCUGUUCCAAGGCAGGUUUCAUUGUUCCCUGAGAGGCACAGAACCCGUGGUCUGUUCUCCCCAGCUCAGCCCAGGUCAUGAGCAAAGAGGCGGUCAUUCAGCCAGAAUCCAGGGCAGAUUUGGCUGAGCACAUAGAAAGACCAUGCUUGCUGUGAGGAGCAGGAAGGCUUUGACCUCAGGAAGACAGCUGUGAAUUUUUAGCCUAAGCUAGCUGUUGUGCUUUUGACAAUAAGGUUGUGCUGCUGGCUUCUAUUCAGAUUUUCUCGUGCCUUGAUGUCUCUCUUGCCGCUAUGCUAUGAAGGAUGUUUGUGAUCUGUGCACCUUAGAAUCUGAUAUGAUUGAGGUGUGAGUAUUCUUUUAAAGGUAGGGUCGAUGAGGAAAAUUUCUUCUUGUAGACCCACUUCAAAUAGUUAAUGGUGGCUCCACUGUUCUAAGAAAGGUUUUUCCAAGCUCCUCGGGCUCCAUGGAGAGGAGCUUUGUCACCCGGGGCCAGUGCCUGCCUGGGUGCGGGAGAGCGCAGUGGUGAGAUUGUGGCAGGUUCCUUCUGUCUGCGCUUUUAAGGUGGAAAUCAGUGUGCUGUGCAAGCCAACUAAAACUAGAAGAAAAC
ensembl:lncRNA